GCGUGUAUUGUCUGCUUAUUGCGAUAACGGACGAGACCUUAACCUGCUAAAUAGGGCUGCGAGCAUCUGCUCGGGUGCUCUUCUUAGAGGGACUAUGGGUAUCAAACCCAUGGAAGUUUGAGGCAACAACAGGUCUGUGAUGCCCUUAGACGUUCUGGGCCGCACGCGCGCUACACUGACGGAGCCAGCAAGUCCAACCUUGGUCGAGAGGCCCGGGUAAUCUCGUGAAACUCCGUCGUGCUGGGGAUAGAGCAUUGUAAUUUUUGCUCUUCAACGAGGAAUUCCUAGUAAGCGCAAGUCAUCAGCUUGCGUUGAUUACGUCCCUGCCCUUUGUACAAAA
rnacentral:rRNA from 1 species